UCCUUGGGGGAAAGGAGAGCUGAUUAAAGGCAAUCGUUGAAACGCUUUGGACUAGUAAUCUACCUAAUCAAUGAUGGUGUGAGAGAGCACUCCACACACAUUGAUCAUUUGCUGUGCUCAUAGGAAACUGAAAUGUCACCCCAUGGCAAGUGAGAAUUUGACACAUGUGGCAGUAUAUCCUGUAGGCACCACACAAAUGCCUGGAUCUAAUUGUUUGUGGUGCUGGCUGUCUGUAUAUAAAGGGCCCUUCCUCACCUGGUUGACAUCACCUUGUUUUCCUUCUGGUGCAGACCUCAACAUUUGCUGGCACUGCAUGCUAGCCGCAUAUUAAUGCACGCUUGGAUGGUGCGCUUAACGACGCUCUGAUCGCGGAUCAAUCUUCCUCAGGCUGCCCGUACAAGCUGCCUGAUUACCCUUCCUGUCAGAGGCACUACUUAUAGAGCUCAGUGGUAAGUGAAAUGCUAAUAUUUUGCAUGCUUCCAGAUUACAUUUUUAACAUUUAUUUUUGAUAGA